rnacentral:rRNA from 1 species
CUUAAAGGAAUUGACGGGGAGCACCACAACAGGCGGAGCCUGCGGUUUAAUCGGACUCAACGCCGGAAAUACUCACCGGAUAAGACAGCUGGAUGAUAGCCGGGCUGAAGACUCUGCUUGACUAGCUGAGAGGAGGUGCAUGGCCGUCGUCAGUUCGUACUGUGAAGCGUCCUGUUAAGUCAGGCAACGAGCGAGACCCACGCCCACAGUUGCCAGCGUACUCUCCGGAGUGACGGGUACACUGUGGGGACCGCCGCUGCUAAAGCGGAGGAAGGAAUGGGCAACGGUAGGUCAGUAUGCCCCGAAUAUCCCGGGCUACACGCGAGCUACAAUGGUUGGUACAAUGGGUAUCUACCCCGAAAGGGGACGGGAAUCUCCUAAAACCAAUCUUAGUUCGGAUUGAGGGCUGCAACUCGCCCUCAUGAAGCUGGAAUCCGUAGUAAUCGCGUUUCAACAGAACGCGGUGAAUACGUCCCUGCUCCUUG